rnacentral:lncRNA from 1 species
GGCCCUGCGUGUGGCAGGGGGGUUGGAGAUUCAUGAUCCUUGAGGUCCCUUCCAACCCUGGCAAUUCUGAUUCUGUCCGCGGUCUCUGCUGCCACCGCGUGGCAAAUGCGCGGAACUGCAUGCGUGAUGGUGUGCCGGAAACUCCGCAUGCGGAGUUCUAUGAAGGGAAAAGCGCAUGUGUACAAGUGUGCCAAGAAAGGCGCAUGCGUAGUGCUGCGUCCAACCCUGCACAUGCGUAGGGUUGUGUAAAUGCAAACGCAUGCAUAGUGCUGCGUUCCUGUACGCCUGGAGUAGGUGUAGAGGCGUGCCGGGAAGGCGCAUGCGUAGUCAUGCGUCAAGACUACGCAUUUUUUUCGGAAUUUCCGGAGUCGCGCAUGCGCAGUACCGUGACGAGGAUGGAGCACGCGUAGUGCUGUGUCCAAUUAGGAGCACGAGUAGUAUGCCGGAAUUGGCGCACGCGUAGUACUGUGCUGGACAUGCGUAGUGCUGCGCCGGACCUGGCGCACGCGUGGUGUUGUGUCGAAUUUGACACAUGCAUAUGGUUUGCCCAAACUGGCGCACGCGUAGUGUUGGGCUGGAACUGGCGCAUGCGUACUGCUUUGUCGACGACAGUACGUGCUUUGUACUUUGGGUGCGGGCUUUUUGGCUGUUUUGGGGCGGUCUGGGGAUUCAUGCGGCUUACAUCGAGGUUGAUGGGGUUUAAGGAUGUAUGGGAACUGCUGAGUCAUGGCCUGAACCUCUGAUUAGUCACCUGAGGCGAGCAAUGAGUCAGCCCUGGGAGCACAGGUGAAAGCAAUUCACCUGUGCUGCAGGAAGGGGUGGAGCCUGGCUGCACCUUUCCUAGACCCAUUUAAGAGCUGACUACCAUUGGGGAAGGAUCUCUCUCUCUUCGGAAGAUCCACUCCACUGGAGUUUCCUGAGCGAGCCCACGACACGGGUAAGCCUCCUAUUUAUUCUCUUUGUCUCGCUGUGCCUAACUCUCUUGCUUAUUUCAUUAUUAUAACAUCUUAAUAUUAUUUGAUUAUAUAAUAUUCCUUUAUAUAAUUUUCAUUGAUUAUACAAAGGAUUGCCAGGGUUCCUCUAAUCAGCAGUGUGAGAACUGUGGAGCAGAUAAUGAAACAUCACGAGCCCCAUGUUGGUGCAUUGCUUGUAUGCAGGCAUGUUUGUGAUGACUGUGGGGAAACUCACUUAAGGCUCAAGUAGUGUUAAAAGGGGCUUGCUUCACUCCACGGGUUCUGUGCUCCCAUCCCAAUGAGCUCCAUGGCUGCUGAUAGAGUGAGGUGCAUCAGCUGGCACCCGAAGAACACUCCCAAACCCCAGUGGCCAUUUGCUUCAUCCUCGCUCAGUAUAAUACAGUCUGCACUGCUUGAGCAUACUGACCACAUGCGUUCUGUUCAUAUUUUAUGAUUGUCUCUGAUAUUUCCCUUACAGAUUUGUCAGCGAUAAUGGAUUCCAGGGCAUCGUUGUCAGGGCACAUUGUGGCCAACCACCCCAGGGUCCUACAGCUCUUUCUGUUUUAAUGGCAGAUCUGGCUUUGUGAUAAUAAAAAAGAAAGGAUUGUCCUCUUCUGGAUGACU